UACGUAGGGGCCUAGCGUUGUCCGGAAUUACUGGGCGUAAAGCGCACGUAGGCGGACUGUUAAGUCGGGGGUGAAAUCCUGGGGCUCAACCUCAGAAUUGCCUCCGAUACUGGCAGUCUCGAGUGCGGGAGAGGUGAGUGGAAUUCCCAGUGUAGAGGUGAAAUUCGUAGAUAUUGGGAAGAACACCAGUGGCGAAGGCGGCUCACUGGCCCGUAACUGACGCUGAG
rnacentral:rRNA from 1 species